rnacentral:rRNA from 1 species
GAACGGCAGCACAGUAGAGCUUGCUCUACGGGUGGCGAGUGGCGGACGGGUGAGUAAUGCAUCGGGAUCUACCCAAACGUGGGGGAUAACGUAGGGAAACUUACGCUAAUACCGCAUACGUCUUACGAGAGAAAGCAGGGGACCUUCGGGCCUUGCGCGGUUGGACGAACCGAUGUGCGAUUAGCUAGUUGGUAGGGUAAUGGCCUACCAAGGCGACGAUCGCUAGCUGGUCUGAGAGGAUGAUCAGCCACACUGGAACUGAGACACGGUCCAGACUCCUACGGGAGGCAGCAGUGGGGAAUAUUGGACAAUGGGCGCAAGCCUGAUCCAGCAAUGCCGCGUGUGUGAAGAAGGCCUUCGGGUUGUAAAGCACUUUUAUCAGGAGCGAAAUACUACCGGCUAAUACCCGGUGGGGCUGACGGUACCUGAGGAAUAAGCACCGGCUAACUUCGUGCCAGCAGCCGCGGUAAU